rnacentral:rRNA from 1 species
GUUGGUGGCUAGAGCCGUGAGGGUCCACCCGGUCCCAUCCCGAACCCGGCAGUUAAGCUCACGAGCGCGGAUGGUACUGCGCGGGCGACCGCGUGGGAGAGUACGCCGCUGCCAACC